rnacentral:rRNA from 1 species
UACGUAGGGUGCAAGCGUUAAUCGGAAUUACUGGGCGUAAAGCGUGCGCAGGCGGCCAUGCAAGACAGAUGUGAAAUCCCCGGGCUCAACCUGGGAACUGCAUUUGUGACUGCAUGGCUAGAGUACGGCAGAGGGGGAUGGAAUUCCGCGUGUAGCAGUGAAAUGCGUAGAUAUGCGGAGGAACACCGAUGGCGAAGGCAAUCCCCUGGGCCUGCACUGACGCUCAUGCACGAAAGCGUGGGGAGCAAACAGG